UUUCCUACGGGGGGCAGCAGUGGGGAAUAUUGCACAAUGGGCGCAAGCCUGAUGCAGCGACGCCGCGUGCGGGAUGGAGGCCUUCGGAUUGUAAAGCUCUGUUAGCAGGGAAGAGGAAGGACGGUACCUGCAGAGGAAGCCACGGCUAACUACGUGCCAGCAGCCGCGGUAAUACGUAGGUGGCAAGCGUUGUUCGGAAUAACUGGGCGUAAAGGAUGCGUAGGCGGUUAAACAAGUUAUAUGUUAAAUAUAUAGGCUUAACCUGUAGAAAGCAUAUAAAACUGUUUAACUAGAGUGCAGGAGAG
rnacentral:rRNA from 1 species